UGAAGAUGGCACACACACACUGGCAC
rnacentral:piRNA from 1 species